rnacentral:rRNA from 1 species
UACGUAGGGGCCAAGCGUUGUCCGGAUUUAUUGGGCGUAAAGAGCUCGUAGGCGGUUCGGCAAGUCAGCUGUGAAAUCUCCACGCUCAACGUGGAGGGGUCAGCUGAUACUGCUGUGACUCGAGUCCGGUAGGGGAGUGUGGAAUUCCCGGUGUAGCGGUGAAAUGCGCAGAUAUCGGGAGGAACACCGGUGGCGAAGGCGGUUCUCUGGGCCUUACCUGACGCUGAGGAGCGAAAGCGUGGGGAGCGAACAGG